ACCGGUCCUGUUACGGGACACGUGGAGGACGUCAUCUUUCAGCUGGUCGCAUAUCAGUUUUUUACCUGCUGCCAUGUCUCGGCCAUGUCAAUCUCUGAGUCCUGGUACGUUAUUAAAGACCAUGGCACCAACUACUGCAACCUAUACAACCUUGUCGAAGGAAGUGGGCUCACCCAGGUCAGAGGUUACAAAGAGGUUACCAGUGACUUCAUGUGUACCCAGCGCUCCUCCGCCAACUGCACCGUCUACUAACC